UAUGUGAUAUAAAUUAUAUGGAUGUAAUGAGUGUAAAAUGUCCAAUAAAAUGUGCUGGACCCUCCUCCCUGCUGUUGUGACCCUAAAGUAAAAGCAGACCUCAGGUUUACCUGCACCGCUUCCUCUUCCUCGCGGGAGAGCAAAGCACAAAUAAAAAGGGGCAGAGAUACAAAGUACAACUCACAAAAUAAAAGUCCGGUUUAUUGUCAAACAACAAACUUUGCACAUACAUCAAAACAGGCCGUCAUAAAACAAAAAGUCGCUGACAAAAACAAAACCAAAAGAAAAAAACAAAAGAAAGGAAAAAGAAAAGAGGCUCUUUUCUUUGGCCUUACCCUCCCAUACAAACAAACUAGUUAUGGUACAGCUAAAGUACAUACAUUAAAUUUACUGGAAUGCUCUGAGUUCAACGGCUUAAGAGGUUGUCUUUCAUGUUUUUAUUUUAUUUUUUUUUUAACUUUUUUACACGUUUUUCUAGGAUCUGUUGAGAUAUCGUAACAUGGUCAACCAAGUAAAAUCUUUCGUUAGAGAAGCACCGAUUUGGUCUGACGAGAUCGAGAGAGAAACUGCCCCCCCUCCCCUCUCCUAACAAUAUGUACAAAAAUAUAAAAUGUAAAUAAAAAUACAAACAAAUUCUCCUUUUGUGUUGUUGCUGAAGAGAAGCCGGAUUUCUGCGUUGUCGAUGCGGUGGCGGGUUCCUCUAGAAAAUUCGUCUCGCAGCGUUGAGGGGAGCUCGGGUGAGUGUGGACGUGGCGGGUGUUUGUUGAACUCUACUUGCUAAUGACCAUGUUGGAUUUUUUUAUUAUUAUUAUUUUUUCCUUUAAAUCAGUCCUCCAGCCCCUCCACCUGCGACAUAGAAAAACGGUCAGAGGUGAAGAAUCAGGAAGUGGUUCAGCAGGAUGGCGCGGGGGAAACGCAUCAAUCGUCAUCGUCGGUUUUCUGCUUCUUGGUUUCGACGUCGUCCUGAAAGAAGACAAGAAGAAGACGGUGGAGGGUUAGACCGGCGCCUGCUGGGUGUCAUGGCACCGCUCGUUUUAAGGGCGUCUUAGGCGCUGCUGCCUCACCUCAUCGUCGUCCUCGUCAUCCUCAGCUGCCCGUUUUGUGCCACCCUCAAUCUCGUCUUCAUCCUCCUCCUCAUCUUCCUCAUCACCUACAGGACAAAAGUUGAAAGGUGAAAAUUUUUAGACUCUAACAGGAGUUUAUUAUUUUUUAAAAGGCAAAUAAGCCUUCAAGCUACCUUCUCCAUCAUCUUCCUCUUCUUCCUCGUCCACCUCCUCGUCCUCCUCGUCAUCUACCUCGGGCUCACCGUUCUCCUCAUUCUCCUGGAAAACACAGAAAUGGUUAAAAAUGUCCACCUCUGUGCACAGAGUUGCUGCUGUGGCGGCGGUGAUGGCACUCACCUUUCCGUUGGUGGCGGCGUCUUUGCCGUUCUCCUUCUCCUCCACCAGCUUCUUCUCUUUCAGGUCCUGAAAACAAAUAAAAGCAAACAUCAGAAACUGAACCUGCUCAUCUGCCCACUGAAACGCGCUGCUGGGUUUAGACUCCGCCCACCGCUGCUACCUGCCCCUCUACCUACUGGCCUACUUAGCAGCGUCCCAGUGCUUGCUGGGAGCUGCACGUUUUUCAGCCUUCCUAUUUAAACACCAUAUUGGCCUCUGCAGAUCCUCCCCCCAUCUCCUUCCUCUCCUCCCACUCCAUCCCCUCUAAUGUGUUGUAAUCUGAUACUUUGAUGUGGCCCGCGGGGCAUUCUGGGUAUUGUAGUCUUCUAUGGGCCGCUGUCGCUGCCAUAUGUCACGAGACACGCCCGGGAGAAGCACUGCAAUACCCAGGAUGCACCCCGUUUAAAAUAACACAGGAGGGCGCAGGAGCAGGGAGGGAGCAGGAGGAGGGGUCGAUGAUGGAGGAGGAGGAGGCGGCGGAGAGAGCGCGAUGCACGCUGCUGCUGCUGCUCGUUGUAACGGAGGCAGGAAAGGACAAUAGAAGACGACACAUGGCAAGCGAGCGAAGCGAAGACACGGCACCUUCCGCCUCCGUGCUCGAGCUCAGCGCGCACUAACGCCGCUCCUCUUCCUCGUUUUGUUCCCCCACAGCCCAUUAUCCCCGCCGCACGCGCGCCUCACGCAUCCACACGUAGGCUGUUAUUGAUUAAUUGCUCUCCAUAAUCUUAUUGGUUGAAAUCCAUUAAGCUGUUAAGCGGCAGGAGGAGAGCAGGCUGCCCGCGCGCUGCGCGUAAAAACGCGCUUGUGCGUAAAAACGCUCCACAACUAAAAAUAGUGAACAGGCUCCCCGGAUUACCCGCGCUAAUGCCUGUCCAACUUUUCCCCUCUCCACCCCCUCCACCUUUACCACCUCCUCCAAAUGGACAUUUCUUAUAAUCGCUCAGAAUUAUUGAGAAUUAUUCUCGGGAUGAUCGCGGUCCGCGGAGCCACGACUCCCCCCGCGGGGGCGAUUAAACUUUUACCCGAUCUGAUCCAAAGUCCACGCGCACAAAAACUCGCGUUUUCACAACAAAAGCAGCUCAAACGUGUAAACGGAGGAAAACCCGCAGAAAGAGGGGAAAACCAGCAGCGUCACAUCACACCUCCACAGCCCGGCCACGCGCGCGCACGCGAGCACACACACACACACACACACACACAGGGAGAAAGAAGUGUCUGCAUUACAAAAAAAAGAAAGAAAAGUUUCCCGUGAGACCGAAGCGCGCCCUGCAAACAAACCCCGAAAACACCAAAGCAAAGCGGAAGCCCCGGGCUCAUAGCCGCUCACGCGCUCCGGGAGCGGAGACCGGAGCAGCUCAGGCUGGAGCAGCGGCGGCCGCCGACCUUCCGGAGUCGGUAAACAAACGGGGUCGGACGGUGCAGGCAGGCCGGUGGCUUUAACAAACGGGCUCACGGAAAUAAGAAAUAAAAAAGGCGGGAGGAAAAGUGCAGAACCGAAAGUUCACCGGAGGACUGCGCACCGCCUGACGCGCUGUCCUCCAUUCAAACGGAGCAAACCCCAGGCUGGAGGUCCGCGUCCACGCAUCCACCGGCCGCUGACGGAACCUCCCCUCGAUCUAAUCCGCGUUAAGAGCCCGAGAUGCGGGAUAAAUAUGCGCGGCGCCCCGGCGCUCACAACGAGCCCGAAAACCCCGCGGGGAGCGAGCCGGGGGACCGGAGCUGCUCGGUGUCCGGGUCUCGCUUGGAGGUGUGCGUGCCGGCAGGAGAACAGAGCUGCUCGCAGAAACAAAGACCCGCGCAGACCAGGACUCUCCGGACAAUGAGCCGCGGCGCUUUAACGCUGCCCGUGUCCGUGAUGCGGUGCCGAGACCCCCCACUUCCCUCUACACACCGAGUUCAGGGGCAAAGAGGCGAACACCGGCUUUUCUUCUCCUCCUCCUCCUCCUCAGACUCCACAAAGUCCGAGCGAGCGCGAAGCAACGACGGAGAGGUUUUAAAUGUAGGUUAGAGCCUGGAGAGCUUUAUUCUUGUAAGGGGCUCCGCGGAGACACGGCCCCGCGAAUGGAGGUGUGCGGCAGCUUACCUUGGCAGAGAUAUCCGAGCCGGAGUCGACCUGUGUGUCUGCCAUUGUUUAGUAGAAUAAAAUAAAGGACGGCUGAAAUGAAAGGUUGAAUAAAGUAAAUCCCCUCGUCUCAGUUAGCGGAUCAAUCAGUAUUAUAUUGUGCCAGUGGCCAACGCUUCUGACGGCCGAGCCUUUAAUAUAGGCUUGUGGGCGGGGUCUUCAUGAGGUCGGUGGUCUCUGAUUGGCCAGGGGCUCGACAGAGGCGUUCUCCUAGCGCGUCGAGUAACAAUGGAUAGAAUUUCUUAACCUAAAGGCCACGCCCCCUCCUAUUCUACCGCUGCAACCGUCCCUUUCUCCCCUAAAACAAUAAUCCGAGUCGAUAAAAGCCCACAAAACGGACCGGAGCCGGAACCGUGGCAGCUCCACAGCACCGUGAGCGCGAGAAAAUCGAGUUUCCAUCGAGUUACGCAGUAAAUAUGUCGAAUCGAGAGCGCUUCGGUUGACGUAGUGUCAGUUUGAUUGAUUGAUGUGCGUCUGGACGAGUCAAGCGGCGACUUCAGACGGUUUCUCCCGCCCACCGCCGCGACGGGGGAAUAGAGGCGAAGUGUUUGGGAGGGAAACGUGGACGACACGGAUGUUAUCACGGAUUAAAUCGGGCUUUUCUACGCAAACGUUAGUGUCACAUCUCAGGCUCCAUGUGAACAACAUCAGUCAGAUAAAAGGCGCUAACAGUGUAAAUGUGGAGCGGCGCCGCCAUGUCACAUCGCAGCUCUUCGUCGCCCCGCCCCUUCCCGACGUCCAUGUUUGAAACUCAUCCCUGUAUGUGCGCACUUGACACUCUUGAGGGCUUUUUUUUUUUUUUUACAUAACAGCCCAUAAAUUCGUGCGCCAAGGUCGAGACACAAAUAAACACUGUACCCGUCGAACAACACACACACAGCCGGCUCUGACGCCGUGAGUCGGGCUGUUCGGGCUCAGUGAGCGGGUGCAGUGAACAGUGC
ensembl:lncRNA